rnacentral:rRNA from 1 species
AACGUAGGACGCAAGCGUUAUCCGGAGUUACUGGGCGUAAAGGGCGGGCAGGCGGUUCUGCCAGUCUGAUGUGAAAUCUCUCAGCUCAACUGGGAGCAGCCAUUGGAAACUACAGAACUGGAGUCUGGCAGAGGUAGGCGGAAUUCCGGGUGGAGUGGUGAAAUGCGUAGAGAUCCGGAGGAACACCAGAGGCGAAGGCGGCCUACUGGGCCAGUACUGACGCUGAGCCGCGAAAGCCAGGGGAGCGAACGGG